rnacentral:rRNA from 1 species
UACGUAGGGGGCGAGCGUUGUCCGGAUUUAUUGGGCGUAAAGAGCGUGUAGGCGGCUUGGUAGGUCCGCUGUGAAAACUCGGGGCUCAACCCCGAGAGGUCGGUGGAAACCAUCUGGCUAGAGUCCGGAAGAGGAGAGUGGAAUUCCCGGUGUAGCGGUGAAAUGCGCAGAUAUCAGGAAGAACACCCGUGGCGAAGGCGGCUCUCUGGGACGGUACUGACGCUGAGACGCGAAAGCGUGGGGAGCGAACAGG